AGCAGUAGCCGCGGGAAUACGGAGGGGGCUAGCGUUGUUCGGAAUUACUGGGCGUAAAGCGCACGUAGGCGGCUUUGUAAGUUAGAGGUGAAAGCCCGGAGCUCAACUCCGGAAUUGCCUUUAAGACUGCAGAGCUAGCAGGUGAGAGAGGUGAGUGGAAUUCCGAGUGUAGAGGUGAAAUUCGUAGAUAUUCGGAAGAACACCAGUGGCGAAGGCGGCUCACUGGCUCAUACUGGACGCUGAGGUGCGAAAGCGUGGGGAGCAAACAGGAUUAGAUACCCCAGUAGUCCCUGUCUCUUAUAA
rnacentral:rRNA from 1 species